UUAGGGUUUAGAGUUAAAGGGUGGGGUUUAGGGUUUAGAGUUUAGGGUUUAGGGUUUAGAUUUUAGGGUUUAGGGUUUAGGGUUUAGGGUUUAGGGUUUAAAGUUUAGAGUUUAGGGUUUAGGGUUUAGAGUUUAGGGUUUAGGGUUUAGAGUUGAGAAAUGAGGUUUUGGGGAUAAGAUUUCAAAUUUUGAAAAAUAAAAAAAUUAAAAUUUUGAAAGGAUAAACUUAAAAAGAUGCUAUUUUGAUCAUUUUAGUUUUUGAGUGCUAUUUUUGUGAUAUAAAUUUAGAAAUGUGCUAUUUUGGAGAUUUGCCCUUUUUGAAAUCAUCAAUACACAUUUAUUUACUGCAAAUUAAAAGCAUAAUAAUGUGACUACUUUAACGCAAGCGUAACGCACCAGAAAAUGAAAAAUACGAAU
rnacentral:lncRNA from 1 species